GGUAGCCGGCCUGAGAGGGUGUCCGGCCACACUGGGACUGAGAUACGGCCCAGACUCCUACGGGAGGCAGCAGUGGGGAAUAUUGCACAAUGGGCGCAAGCCUGAUGCAGCGACGCCGCGUGGGGGAUGACGGCCUUCGGGUUGUAAACCUCUUUCAAUAGGGACGAAGCGCAAGUGACGGUACCUAUAGAAGAAGCACCGGCCAACUACGUGCCAGCAGCCGCGGUAAUACGUAGGGUGCGAGCGUUGUCCGGAAUUACUGGGCGUAAAGAGCUCGUAGGUGGUUUGUCGCGUUGUCCGUGAAAUUUCACAACUCAAUUGUGAGCGUGCGGGCGAUACGGGCAGACUGGAGUACUGCAGGGGA
rnacentral:rRNA from 1 species